rnacentral:lncRNA from 1 species
CCCCCCCCAUCUUUUGUCUCUUCCUUUCUCUUUCACCUCUGUUUCCAUGUCUGGUCAGAAUUAAAAAGCAUACAAUAACAAUAAAUUUUUAAGUAUCAGACAUGACAUUAAAAGCAGACGCUUUGAUGCUCCACCUGAGAGUAAAUCUGUAAGGCUUGUCACCAGCAUUCAGACAUCAAUUCUGUUUGCUUCACAGCCAGACAGGACACACACACACACACAAAAAAAAAAAACGUGCAAUUUAUAUGUUUCCAUGGCGAUGGCGGAAGUCUGUUUCAGCUCUUGUUUCUCCACAUAUUUUAUUAAAAAUUUCAUCAUUUAUGUGUCGUUUUCAUGUUCUGCUCCAAAGUCUGGAUGUUUAGAGACUAGAGGACUUUUGUUUUUCCUGAACAGCUGUGAGUUUUAAGAAUGUACGUUUGUGGUGGCCUCCUCCUCCUGUUUGCCUCUUUGAUGGCAGUCUCGGCUACCGGGUUCGGCGCAUGCUGGACGUUCGCCCCCGGGGUCGUGGUCACCAGUAUCUGGUAGACUGGGAGGGGUAUGGUCCCGAGCAUCGCCAAUGGAUCCCGGGGUCAUGGAUUGAUGAUGUCUCCCUCAUAAGGGACUUCGAGUCCUCCUCCUCUGCUCGGCCGCCAGGUGGCUUCCUUUGAGGUGGGGGUACUGUCAUGGUUCUGCCUUUUUCUCUGCUGGCUAUGGUCCUAAGUGUUUUGCAGGUGGGCGUGUCGGAGAGUCACAGCUGCAGCUUAUUACCAUCAGCAGGGCCAGAGGAUUUAAGGAGCGGUGUUGCCACACUUCAGCGCCGGUUGAUACUCUAUUGCUGGUACCAACCCUGGAUUUUAGCCUCGGUUCCUGUCUGCCUGAAGUGUGCCAUACUCUCAACGUCGCUCAGCUCCUCUGGCCUUCCGCUCUCCACCGCUCACCUGUCCUGGAUCGUACACUUCUACCUGCUACUCCUCUCCCCCAGACAAUCUCCAGGUCAGACCUGACUUGCCUCCCUCUCCUGCCCAAACCCCUGGUCCGUACCGUAAGACUCCUCCACCAUUAUCCUGCUGUGUUUACUUUUCCUGGUUCUCAUUUUACUGUAUUCAUCUCGUUAUCUUUUGUUUUAGAAUCAGAGUUGACCCCCCUGGCCCAGUUAGGAUCAGUGCCCUUCGUUCUCGUUAAUUUUCUUUAUAAUAAAACCUUUGUAUUUUUACUUACCUCUCUCUCCGUGUGUGAUUCUUUCAUGUGGGUAAAAAGACUACAACCCAGCAUGACAUUAUCAGGAUUAGUGCAUUCAUCACAUCUGCUUUCUGCAGAUCAUAUGGUCCUGUUCGCUUCAUCAGAACAUGAUCUCCGGUGUAAGGAAAAUGAGAGGUUCUUACAUUUUAUUUAA